UGACUUUGGUCAAAGUCAAAUUGCUUCAAGUUUGACCAAGUUUAUAGACAAACCUAGUUAUAUUUUCAACCCAAGAUAACUCCAUUAUACAAAUAUAUUUAAUUAUUAAUUUAAUAAAACUAAUUUGGUAAUGUAAAUAUUACUUUAUUUGUCUAUAAACUUAGUCAAACUUGAAGCAGCUUGACUUUGACCAAAGUCAA
rnacentral:pre_miRNA from 1 species